CGCGAAUGGCUCAUUACAACAGCCGUGUUUCUUGGAUCUUGAUUUACUUGGAUGACUGUGGUAAUUCUAGAGCUAAUACAUGCAACCAAGCUCCGACCUUGCGGAAGGAGCGCAUUUAUUAGACCAAGACCAAUCGGGCUCUGCCUGACUUUUGGUGACUCUGAAUAACUUUGCUGAUCACACGGUCCAGCACCGGUGACAUAUCUUUCAAGUGUCUGCCCUAUCAACUUUCGAUGGUAGUUUACGUGCCUACCAUGGUUGUAACGGGUAACGGAGAAUAAGGGUUCGACUCCGGAGAGGGAGCCUGAGAAAUGGCUACCACAUCCAAGGAAGGCAGCAGGCGCGCAAAUUACCCAAUCUCAGUUCGAGGAGGUAGUGACGAAAAAUAACGAGACGGUUCUCUAUGAGGCCCGUCAUCGGAAUGGGUACAAUUUAAACCCUUUAACGAGGAUCUAUUGGAGGGCAAGUCUGGUGCCAGCAGCCGCGGUAAUUCCAGCUCCAAUAGCAUAUGCCAAUUCUGUUGCUGUUAAAAAGCUCGUAGUUGGAUCUUUUCCGAGGAGCCAGUCUGCCUAAAGGGUACGUACUGGUUUCCGAGGAUUUUUCUGCUGGUCUUCCCGUGGUGCUCUUCACCGGGUGUCACGGGUGGCUAGCGCUUUUACUUUGAAAAAAUUAGAGUGCUCAAAACAGGCGUUACUGCCCGAAUAGUGGUGCAUGGAAUAAUGGAAUAGGAUCUCGGUUCUAUUUUGUUGGUUUUAGGAGCGCGAGAUAAUGAUUAAGAGGGACAGACGGGGGCAUUCGUAUUGCGGCGUUAGAGGUGAAAUUCUUGGAUCGCCGCAAGACGAACAACUGCGAAAGCAUUUGCCAAGAAUGUCUUCAUUAAUCAAGAGCGAAAGUUAGAGGUUCGAAGGCGAUCAGAUACCCGCCC
rnacentral:rRNA from 1 species